rnacentral:rRNA from 1 species
CAAUAGCGUAUAUUAAAGUUGUUGCAGUUAAAAAGCUCGUAGUUGGAUUUCUGGUCGGAAGCUCCUGUCCUCUGAUGAGCGUACAAGUGCGUCCUACCAUCCUUCUGUUAACCUUUAAGGCUUUCGCGGCUUUCUAGGGGCUCAGAUAUUUUACCUUGAGAAAAUUAGAGUGUUUCAGGCAGGCUAGCGCCGGAAUACAUUAGCAUGGAAUAAUGGAAUAGGACUUUUGCCUCUUCUGUUGGUCAUGAGGCUCGAGUAAUGAUUAAUAGGGAUAGUUGGGGGCAUUAGUACUUAACUGUCAGAGGUGAAAUUCUCGGAUUCGUUAAAGACUAACUUAUGCGAAAGCAUUUGCCAAGGAUGUUUUCAUUAA